AUUGAACGCUGGCGGCAGGCCUAACACAUGCAAGUCGAGCGGAUGAAGGGAGCUUGCUCCUGGAUUCAGCGGCGGACGGGUGAGUAAUGCCUAGGAAUCUGCCUGGUAGUGGGGGAUAACGUCCGGAAACGGGCGCUAAUACCGCAUACGUCCUGAGGGUGAAAGUGGGGGAUCUUCGGACCUCACGCUACCAGAUGAGCCUAGGUCGGAUUAGCUAGUUGGUGGGGUAAAGGCCUACCAAGGCGACGAUCCGUAACUGGUCUGAGAGGAUGAUCAGUCACACUGGAACUGAGACACGGUCCAGACUCCUACGGGAGGCAGCAGUGGGGAAUAUUGGACAAUGGGCGAAAGCCUGAUCCAGCCAUGCCGCGUGUGUGAAGAAGGUCUUCGGAUUGUAAAGCACUUUAAGUUGGGAGGAAGGGCAGUAAGUUAAUACCUUGCUGUUUUGACGUUACCAACAGAAUAAGCACCGGCUAACUUCGUG
rnacentral:rRNA from 1 species